AAGAAGAGCACAUGUCCAAUCCCUGUCACUAUAAAUAGAAACUGGGACCCACAAUCGUCCCUCCCAUUUCACUCACUUGUCCAAAUUUAUUACUCUUUUUUUUUUUUUUUUUCCUUUCUUCUGCACAAGCAAAUUCCUAACCCCUUUUUUUUUCUCUCUCUCUCUCUUCUUAAGUCCUCCCCAGUUGGAGUUGGAGGAGACUUUUGGACUCCUUUUCUAUCUCUAUCAUUUUUUUUUGUGGGAAUUUUGAACUGUGGAGAGAGAUUGAGAGAAAAUGGCAGAAGAGGGAGCCAGUGAAGUCAGUGGUGCUCCAAUCCGCCGCGUCCUUCUCAUCUCCGCUGGUGCCAGUCACUCUGUUGCUCUUCUUUCUGAUAAUGUUUUUUGCUCCUGGGGACGAGGAGAGGAUGGGCAGUUAGGCCAUGGUGACGCUGAAGAUCGACUUUCACCGACACAUUUGAGUGCAUUGGAUGGCCAUGAAAUAGUAUCUGUUACUUGUGGAGCUGAUCAUACAAUUGCUUACUCUGACUCACGUACACAAGCGUAUAGUUGGGGAUGGGGUGACUUUGGGAGGUUGGGUCAUGGUAAUUCCAGUGACUUGUUUACACCUCAGCCGAUAAAGGCAUUAUAUGGUCUGAGGAUAAGGCAAAUUGCUUGUGGGGACAGCCACUGUUUGGCAGUGACGAUGGAAGGUGAGGUGCAAAGUUGGGGGCGGAAUCAAAAUGGUCAACUUGGUCUUGGCACCACAGAAGACUCUCUUGUGCCACAGAAGAUUCAAGCGUUUCAGGGAAUAUCUGUCAAAAUGGUUGCUGCUGGUGCUGAACAUACGGCAGCUGUCACAGAAGAUGGAUCACUCUAUGGAUGGGGUUGGGGCCGAUAUGGAAACUUGGGCCUAGGUGACAGGAACGAUCGCUUGGUUCCAGAGAAGGUUUCUAUGGUUAAUAGUGAGAAGAUGGUUAUGGUUGCGUGUGGAUGGCGGCACACAAUAUCUGUUUCUUCAUUGGGUCGAUUAUACACAUAUGGGUGGAGCAAAUAUGGUCAACUAGGACAUGGGGAUUUUGAGGAUCACCUUGUUCCUCACAAGCUAGAAGCCUUGAGUAACAACUUUAUUUGUGAGACAGCUGGCGGUUGGAGGCAUACUAUGGCACUCACAUCUGAUGGAAAACUGUAUGGCUGGGGUUGGAAUAAGUUUGGACAGGUUGGAGUUGGGGACAAUAUUGAUCACUGUUCUCCUGUGCAAGUUAAAUUUCCUCAUGACCAGAAAGUAGUUCAAAUAACAUGUGGAUGGAGACACACACUUGCUGUUACUGAAAGACAAAAUGUGUUCUCCUGGGGGAGGGGUACAAAUGGACAGCUUGGGCAUGGAGAAUCAAUUGACCGGAAUGUUCCAACAAUUAUAGAGUCUUUGAGUGUUGAUGGAUCUACCGGGCUACAGAUAGAAUCUUCAAAAGUUGAUCCAGCAACAGGGAAAACUUGGGUGUCACCAUCAGAGAGAUAUGCUGUUGUUCCAGAUGAAACUGUCCGAGGCCAAACAUCUGCGUCAGUCAAGGGUAAUGGGAAUGAUGUAAGUGUUCCACAGUCCGACGUGAAACGCGUACGGUUUUGAUGAUCUUUGGGAUGCCCUAGUAUUUAAGAAACAAGGAUGACAGGUCCUUCUGGCUUCUAAACUUCCUGAAAUGUUCUGUGUGAACCAAAUGAAGCCAUUACUGACAUGUGCCUUCAUCUCUCGUGCUUGGAAAUCUUGUGCCAUUGGAAACACAAUGCAUGUAAACGGAAUACCGAACCCUUGUUGGUUUAACAGUUUUUGUUUGAAGGCAUCCUAUGGUGAUUUGUUUCAACUGUGGAAUUGCUUUCCACAUACAGGACACAUCAACUAUAGUUCUUAUUUUGCUGGGGGGAAAUUGUACUGCAUUUCCCUAUGUACUUAGAUGCUUCUGAGGUCUACACAUGAGAAAUGUAGGCCCACAACAUUAGAACGGUGCUGCUAUGCUAUGCGAUCUGUAUCAUGGAUACCUUUUUCCCAGAUGCAUUGUUAAGAUUAUGUGAGCAUUUAGGCUUGGGCAUGGCCAUGCGUUCAUCCAUUUGGUGCCAUGGUGCCAUGGUGCCAUUUUUAAAUUUUUAUUUUUAUUUUUUAUUUUUUUAUGCGAAACGAAAAGGGUUACAAAAUGAAUCUUCUAGGAUAAGAGUUCCCUAGGAUGUCAUGUUGCCAUUGAGAAGGGACAGUAAGCUUGGGAUAUAUGGCUUUGUAUUGGGGUCAUUAUUAGACUCUUGAGAGUUUGACUCCUAUGUUGCACGUUUAGACACAUGCGGAAUAUGAUACAAUAUGUAUAGUGUGCCA